AUGCCACCUUCCGUGCACGACACGGAAGGCCUGCCGUUCAUGAAGCAUGGUUGUGUCUUCAUUGCGCACCGCCGGAUGAAUGACAUGCUGGGACACGCUAUCCCUGAUUUAUGCCGCUUCAGCUUGGAUGAGUCUCCAUCGUGUGGAACUGGACUAGAAAGCUGCGACAAUGAUUCUCGUUGCCCACCGCUAUGGAUCAUGCCAUCCAUGAAGAACACCUGGGACUGGAACCUGGAGGAGGACAUGCAUAAUUACCGAUGCAAGUCGAAGAAGGAUUGGCCGGUGCUGCCGGCUGGCGUCAAGUUCGAUCCCACGGAUCAGGAGCUGAUCGAGCACCUUGAGGCCAAAGUGAGUGCUGAUAGUGCAAGAUUUCAGUCUCUCAUCGAUUUGUUCAUACCAACCAUCGACAGCGAGCACAGCAUAUGCUACACCCAACCUGAGAAACUUCCAGGUAUCACACUGAGUGGCCUAAGGAAGCAAUUCUUCCAGCGCAAUUCCAGGGCGUUCAAAAGGGGCACGUGGAUGCACCACAAGAUACAGUCGGAGUGCGGCAUGCACGCGAUGUGGCACAAGACCGGCAAUACCUUGCCGAUGAUGGUCAACGGCCGGCAGACGGGCAACAAAAAAGGUUCUGGUGCUGCACACCAAUAA
rnacentral:rRNA from 1 species